rnacentral:piRNA from 1 species
UAAAUGGAUUGAUCCAUUGAUGAUGAAGU